rnacentral:rRNA from 1 species
UACGUAGGGGGCGAGCGUUGUCCGGAUUUAUUGGGCGUAAAGAGCGUGUAGGCGGCCAGGUAGGUCUGCUGUGAAAACUCGAGGCUCAACCUCGAGACGUCGGCGGAAACCAUCUGGCUAGAGUCCGGAAGAGGAGAGUGGAAUUCCUGGUGUAGCGGUGAAAUGCGCAGAUAUCAGGAAGAACACCCGUGGCGAAGGCGGCCCUCUGGACGGAUACUGACGCUGAGGCGCGAAAGCGUGGGGAUCAAACAGG